AACGAACGCUGGCGGCAGGCUUAACGCAUGCAAGUCGAACGCCCCGCAAGGGGAGUGGCAGACGGGUGAGUAACGCGUGGGAACAUACCCUUUCCUGCGGGAUAGCUCUGGGAAACUGGAAUUAAUACCGCAUACGCCCUACGGGGGAAAGAUUUAUCGGGGAAGGAUUGGCCCGCGUUGGAUUAGCUAGUUGGUGGGGUAAAGGCCUACCAAGGCGACGAUCCAUAGCUGGUCUGAGAGGAUGAUCAGCCACAUUGGGACUGAGACACGGCCCAAACUCCUACGGGAGGCAGCAGUGGGGAAUAUUGGACAAUGGGCGCAAGCCUGAUCCAGCCAUGCCGCGUGAGUGAUGAAGGCCUUAGGGUUGUAAAGCUCUUUCACCGAUGAAGAUAAUGACGGUAGUCGGAGAAGAAGCCCCGGCUAACUUCGUGCCAGCCGCCGCCGUAAUAC
rnacentral:rRNA from 1 species